UACGGAGGGGGCUAGCGUUGUUCGGAAUUACUGGGCGUAAAGCGCACGUAGGCGGCUUUGUAAGUUAGAGGUGAAAGCCCGGGGCUCAACUCCGGAAUUGCCUUUAAGACUGCAUCGCUAGAAUUGUGGAGAGGUAAGUGGAAUUCCGAGUGUAGAGGUGAAAUUCGUAGAUAUUCGGAGGAACACCAGUGGCGAAGGCGACUUACUGGACACAUAUUGACGCUGAGACGCGAAAGCGUGGGGAGCAGACAGG
rnacentral:rRNA from 1 species